rnacentral:rRNA from 1 species
UACGUAGGGUGCGAGCGUUUAAUCGGAAUUACUGGGCGUAAAGCGUGCGCAGGCGGUCUGUUAAGACCGAUGUGAAAUCCCCGGGCUUAACCUGGGAACUGCAUUGGUGACUGGCAGGCUUUGAGUGUGGCAGAGGGGGGGUAGAAUUCCACGUGUAGCAGUGAAAUGCGUAGAGAUGUGGAGGAAUACCGAUGGCGAAGGCAGCCCCCCUGGGCCAACACUGACGCUCAUGCACGAAAGCGUGGGGAGCAAACAGG